UGAGACCCACGAUUGCGUGGCACUUAAGUA
rnacentral:piRNA from 1 species